GUCAGGGAAUUACAAGCAAAGCUUAAAACCCAAAGGACUUGACGGUGCCCCAUCUCCCCCUAGAGGAGCCUGUCAUAUAAUCGAUAAUCCCCGCUUAACCUCACCACAUCUAGCUUAUUCAGCCUGUAUACUUCCGUCGCAAGCCUACCACAUGAGCGAAACCUAGUUAGCCCAAUGUUUACACAUAAAUGUGCUUACAUCAACAACACGUCAGGUCAAAGUGCAGCAAACGAUGUGGGAUAAGAUUGGCUACACUUUUUAAUUUAAAAGAAACGGAAAACAAAAUGAAACUUUGUCAGAAGGUGGAUCUAGCAGUAAAAGAAAGAUAUCAAACUUCUUUAAACUCGGCACUGGGGCGUGU
rnacentral:rRNA from 1 species